GGCUGUGUAGCUCAGGGGCUAGAGCAUUGCUCUUAGAAACUGAGGGGUCAUGAGUUCAAAUCUCAUUGGGGCCU
rnacentral:tRNA from 1 species